UACGUAGGUGGCGAGCGUUGUCCGGAUUUACUGGGCGUAAAGGGAGCGUAGGCGGACUUUUAAGUGAGAUGUGAAAUACCCGGGCUCAACUUGGGUGCUGCAUUUCAAACUGGGAGUCUAGAGUGCAGGAGAGGAGAAUGGAAUUCCUAGUGUAGCGGUGAAAUGCGUAGAGAUUAGGAAGAACACCAGUGGCGAAGGCGAUUCUCUGGACUGUAACUGACGCUGAGGCUCGAAAGCGUGGGGAGCAAACAGGAUUAGGUACCCGGGUAGU
rnacentral:rRNA from 1 species